rnacentral:rRNA from 1 species
AUACAUGCAGUCGAGCGAACGGACGAGAAGCUUGCUUCUCUGAUGUUAGCGGCGGACGGGUGAGUAACACGUGGAUAACCUACCUAUAAGACUGGGAUAACUUCGGGAAACCGGAGCUAAUACCGGAUAAUAUUUUGAACCGCAUGGUUCAAAAGUGAAAGACGGUCUUGCUGUCACUUAUAGAUGGAUCCGCGCUGCAUUAGCUAGUUGGUAAGGUAACGGCUUACCAAGGCAACGAUGCAUAGCCGACCUGAGAGGGUGAUCGGCCACACUGGAACUGAGACACGGUCCAGACUCCUACGGGAGGCAGCAGUAGGGAAUCUUCCGCAAUGGGCGAAAGCCUGACGGAGCAACGCCGCGUGAGUGAUGAAGGUCUUCGGAUCGUAAAACUCUGUUAUUAGGGAAGAACAUAUGUGUAAGUAACUGUGCACAUCUUGACGGUACCUAAUCAGAAAGCCACGGCUAACUACGUGCCAGCAGCCGCGGUAAUACGUAGGUGGCAAGCGUUAUCCGGAAUUAUUGGGCGUAAAGCGCGCGUAGGCGGUUUUUUAAGUCUGAUGUGAAAGCCCACGGCUCAACCGUGGAGGGUCAUUGGAAACUGGAAAACUUGAGUGCAGAAGAGGAAAGUGGAAUUCCAUGUGUAGCGGUGAAAUGCGCAGAGAUAUGGAGGAACACCAGUGGCGAAGGCGACUUUCUGGUCUGUAACUGACGCUGAUGUGCGAAAGCGUGGGGAUCAAACAGGAUUAGAUACCCUGGUAGUCCACGCCGUAAACGAUGAGUGCUAAGUGUUAGGGGGUUUCCGCCCCUUAGUGCUGCAGCUAACGCAUUAAGCACUCCGCCUGGGGAGUACGACCGCAAGGUUGAAACUCAAAGGAAUUGACGGGGACCCGCACAAGCGGUGGAGCAUGUGGUUUAAUUCGAAGCAACGCGAAGAACCUUACCAAAUCUUGACAUCCUUUGACAACUCUAGAGAUAGAGCUUUCCCCUUCGGGGGACAAAGUGACAGGUGGUGCAUGGUUGUCGUCAGCUCGUGUCGUGAGAUGUUGGGUUAAGUCCCGCAACGAGCGCAACCCUUAAGCUUAGUUGCCAUCAUUAAGUUGGGCACUCUAAGUUGACUGCCGGUGACAAACCGGAGGAAGGUGGGGAUGACGUCAAAUCAUCAUGCCCCUUAUGAUUUGGGCUACACACGUGCUACAAUGGACAAUACAAAGGGCAGCGAAACCGCGAGGUCAAGCAAAUCCCAUAAAGUUGUUCUCAGUUCGGAUUGUAGUCUGCAACUCGACUACAUGAAGCUGGAAUCGCUAGUAAUCGUAGAUCAGCAUGCUACGGUGAAUACGUUCCCGGGUCUUGUACACACCGCCCGUCACACCACGAGAGUUUGUAACACCCGAAGCCGGUGGAGUAACCUUUUAGGAGCUAGCCGUCGAAG